ensembl:lncRNA
GUUUGCCAAGGCCAGGGGCGUGAUGCAAGAUGUACAGAGGAUUUCCAGAGCUGCCAGGUUGUAAGCUGCCUCGAGGCUAGGGCUUGUCUGUCUCGUUUGCCACUGUUUCCACUCGCUCCAUCCGCGCCAGGGACCCAGCGCAGGCGCUCAGUAGAGAUGUGAGACCACCUCGGUGGCGAUGCGCCAGGGACCCAGCGCAGGCGCUCAGUAGAGAUAUCUGAGACCACCUCGGCGGCGAUUCCUGUGAAAGGAGAGAUGGAGCGGUUCACACCAGGGUCUCGCGUCCCUCGGGAGUCUCGGCAGUUCUUCCCUGUGGUCCCUAAAUGAUACGUCACGUUUCCCGAGCUCUCGGGGCAAGAAACGCUUAAAGACCCCACUGCUAACUAAGCCUCCUGAAGAUUUUCAACAAGCCUGAGAUUAAGAGGACAGUACAUGAACACCUAUGCGUGCAUCACUCGGCUUGCAAACGUGUGAAAUAUCAUUUUCCUGAAGAUCUGAGUCUCCUACCUCUCCAUCAGUGAGUCUGGUGAUACUCAUUUCUUCAAGACCCUGCCUGUACUGGGGAUCACUGUCAACAACUAAAGCAACAGGAAACGUAGCGUUAAAACUUGGUUCACUUGUUACACCAAAAAAAUAAGUAAAUAAAAUGGUGGCCGAGUGUUUAAUUUGCAUAUAUUUUGGCCCCACCCCCUCUGUUUAGCAGGAAAGUGUUUGGGGCGUGGCCCAGGCUCUGAGAACCCCCCAAGAAGAUCAAUGCAAAGACUUCUCCAUUCAGAGCUACUACCUUCAGCCAUUCGAAUAACACUGAAGAGGUAAUCCAUAAACACAAGACAGUGUCUGUGUGCACCUGCAAGUCUGUUUUGCAGCAAAUUAACCCUCAACAAGGUGUGAGGGCCAUGUGCAUAGGACUGGAUGGCUUAGAACAAAGGUGUGGUGGGUAGGACGCGACUGCGGAUUUGGUCAUUGAGGAGCUUCCUGACGUUAUACCCCAGGUAAGCUGUGCUAAUGUCACUUAUAAAAAUAUUUUGUGAUAAUUGUAUGUGAUAUCAAAAGAAUAAGAAAUUCCCUUUUUGUUUUUUCUUUAGUUUUACUGAGGUAUAAUUGACUAAUAAAGUCAAGGUUCCUUUCCUUGUUUUAAACUGCA